GUUAAAUCUUGUCCUCUUUACAUUCCAAAUAUACCCAGAAUCUGACAAUUUAUCAUCAUUUCCCAUGAGGUCCCAUGAGAGAUGUUGAGGUCCCAUUAUCUUUCCCCUGGAUUAUUUCAGUAGCUUCCUAACUGGACUCUCCAUUUUCUCCAUCACCAACUCCUACCUGAUACUCUAUUCUCAACCAGCAGCCCACAUGAGCUGUAGAAACAGUAAGUCAUACUAUGUCAUUCCUCUACUCAAAGCCCUUCAGUAAAUUUACUUUAACUGAGUAAUUUACUCAGUUAAAGUAAAGUCAAAAAGAUUCCACAUAACCUGGCCCUCCAUCAUCUACCUCUUUGUUCUCAUCUUUACUACCAUCCCCUCACUCCAUUCCAGCCACACCAGCCUCCUUGCUGUUCCUCGAGCACCAGGCAAGCUCCCAGCCCAGGGCCUCUGCACUUGAACUUUCUGCCUGUUUCACUCACCCCUCUGAAAUCCCCCAUGGCUCACUCCUUCAUCUCUAUAACAGGCAGCUUUUAAGAUGGCCCACAGUGAUCCUCCUCCUGGUAUUAACACCCCUGUGUAAUCUCCUCCCAUUGAGUGUGGGCAGGACCUAUCACAGGUGAUGGAUGUCACUUCUGUGAUUAGGCUACGUAAGGCAGUAACUUCUGUCUUGGCAGCAGAUUCCCUCCCUUGCUGGCUUUGGGGAAGCAAGUUGGCAUGUUGGAGAGACCCACAUGGCAAAGAAAUGAGGGUGUCUAGCUAGGAACUGAGACCCUCAAUCCAGCAGACCUAGAGGAACUGAAAUUCUGUGAACAACCACGUGAGCUUGGAAGCUGAUCCUUCCCUCAUUGAGCCUUCAGAUAAGAACACAGCCCAGCCAGCACCUUGAUUAAAGACUUGUGAGAGAUCCUAAAGUAGAAGAUUGAGCUAAGCUAUGCCCAACUCCUGGACCACAGAAACUAGCCAUCGUUGUCUGACCUCAUCACUGAGUGAACUGCACCAGCUCCAAGGACCAUUGCCCAUCAAAGCAACUGACAAAUGCCACAUUCACAUAGAAAACAGGAAUAGUGAAAGCAAAGUCUUGCAUUGUGACUACUGGGGAUUGAGGAAGAGUAAAAUGCUCUGAUUCGCCUGUCUUGUAGUGACCUGCAAUUUCCAUUUCAAUGCAAUCAAAGGAGGAUGGAGGUAAUCUCAACUUUGGUAGCCCUUAAAGUGCUACCCUGGAUCAAUGGCAGGUGCAAAGGAGGAUGUAGCACUGCAAUUGGCCCAGCCUGUGUCACGUGUCCGUGCCUAUGGCGAGGGGUAGUGCACCAAGAUUUGUAGCCCCACUAGAAACAUGUAGAACAAGAGAUGGAUAGUUCCCACAAAAGGAAAUAAAAUGAUGAGACAGAAACAUCAGGUAACUUAUGUUAUUCCAAUGUGCAGAAAAAUCAUAAUGGGGCAAGAUACUCUGGGGAUAAGGGCAGUUGGUAUUGUAAGUGACAGUUUAACAGAUGCUCAUGGGGCAGUGCCCUGGUUAUAGCAAGACCUCUGGUUAAAGUGAGCCUUGUACCCAUCCAAGUCUUCUGUCUCCAUUCAAGGGGACAUACACGUGUUGAGGACUCUGGGAGGGCAUGUGUUGCAAAGGUGAUGGUCCCUGGAUGACCCACAUGGUAGGCAGCUCAACGCCAGUUCCCUUCCACUUCUCAGACUUACGCUUGUGCAGAUCUGGCUACAAAAAAUUAGCAGGAUCCUGUGCAAGAAGAAAAUUCAAGACCCCUAAUUCAAAAUUAUUAAGGUUUGCAAGAUGACCACAGCAAUGCAUCAAACCAAGUAGGGGAUCCCUCUGAGCACUGGACUUGCGCCAUUGCCCAGGUCCUGUGCUCACAUCACCAGUCCUGUCCUCAUGACAUAAAUUUCUUCCUCCUUGUCCCACCUAGGGGACAACAGUACCUUCUCCCCUCCUCCUCUGAGUCACUCCUGCACUACCUCUUCCUUCAUCCACAGCACACCCGCUUACACAGAAUUAAGAACUAAAAUCGGAAACAAAAAAAAACAAAAGAUCAAGACAGCCACUUCCCUCUGCAAGUUUAAAUCCAAAUAUCUUUGAGGCUAGAGAACUCUGUGAGGAAAAGAAAUUCACAUGUUUAAGAGUUUAUUCUUUAGCUGGGCAUUGUGGGGUGCAUCUGCAGUCCCAGCUACUCGGGGGCUGAGGCAGGAGGAUGGCUUGAGCCUGGGAGUUGAAGGCUGCAGUGAGCUAUGGUGCCACCACUGUACUCCAGCCUAGGUAACAGAGUCAGACUCUGUCUCUCAAAAACUUAAAAAUUAAAUUUAAAUAAAUAGUAUAUUCUUAAAGUGUCUCAUGGUGUUUACUCUCAUCCUUGCCCAGAAAUAACUCCAGUAUUCUUUGUGGGACU
rnacentral:lncRNA from 1 species